AAGGCUACGGCUCAACCGUAGUAAGCUCUUGAAACUGGGAGACUUGAGUGCAGGAGAGGAGAGUGGAAUUCCUAGUGUAGCGGUGAAAUGCGUAGAUAUUAGGAGGAACACCAGUUGCGAAGGCGGCUCGCUGGACUGUAACUGACGCUGAGGCACGAAAGCGUGGGGAGCAAACAGGAGUAGAUACCCUGGUAGUACAAGCUGUAAACGCUGAGUACUAGGUGGCGGGGACUACCCCCCUCGGAGCGGCAGCUCACGGAGAGAGUACUCCGCCUGAGAAGUACGCUCGCAAGAGUGAAAAUGAAAGGAAUUGACGGGGACCCG
rnacentral:rRNA from 1 species